UACGUAGGGUGCAAGCGUUAAUCGGAACUACUGGGCGUAAAGCGUGCGCAGGCGGUGAUGUAAGACAGGUGUGAAAUCCCCGGGCUUAACCUGGGAACUGCAUUUGUGACUGCAUCGCUGGAGUGCGGCAGAGGGGGAUGGAAUUCCGCGUGUAGCAGUGAAAUGCGUAGAUAUGCGGAGGAACACCGAUGGCGAAGGCAAUCCCCUGGGCCUGCACUGACGCUCAUGCACGAAAGCGUGGGGAGCAAACAGG
rnacentral:rRNA from 1 species